rnacentral:rRNA from 2 species
GGACUACCGGGGUAUCUAAUCCUGUUUGCUCCCCACGCUUUCGUGCAUGAGCGUCAGUGUUGGCCCAGGAGGCUGCCUUCGCCAUCGGUGUUCCUCCACAUCUCUACGCAUUUCACCGCUACACGUGGAAUUCCACCUCCCUCUGCCACACUCCAGCUCCAUAGUUUCGGACGCAAUUCCCAGGUUAAGCCCGGGGAUUUCACGCCCGACAUGCGGAGCCGCCUGCGCACCCUUUACGCCCAGUAAUUCCGAUUAACGCUCGCACCCUACGUAUUACCGCGGCUGCUGGCAC